rnacentral:rRNA from 1 species
AGAGUUUGAUCAUGGCUCAGAGCGAACGCUGGCGGCAGGCCUAACACAUGCAAGUCGAGCGCCCCGCAAGGGGAGCGGCAGACGGGAGAGUAACACGUGGGAACGUACCCUUCAGUUCGGAACAACCAAGGGAAACUUUGGCUAAUACCGAAUACGUCCGUAAGGAGAAAGAUUUAUCGCUGAAGGAUCGGCCCGCGUCUGAUUAGCUAGUUGGUGGGGUAACGGCCCACCAAGGCGACGAUCAGUAGCUGGUCUGAGAGGAUGAUCAGCCUCACUGGGACUGAGACACGGCCCAGACUCCUACGGGAGGCAGCAGUAGGGAAUAUUGGGCAAUGCUCGCAAGAGUGACCCAGCCAUGCCGCGUGCAGGAAGAAGGCCUUCUGGGUUGUAAACUGCUUUUGGAAGGGAACAAAAUGACACUGCGGUGUAACUUGAGUGUACCUUCAGAAUAAGCACCGGCUAACUCCGUGCCAGCAGCCGCGGUAAUACGGAGGGUGCAA